GUUAUUGUUUUUUCCUCAAUGAAGCAGUUGAUAGGUGAAAUUUAUCAGACGGAGGGGCUUUCUUUUUCUUUUUUAUAAUGGGCUGAAGUCUGAGCAGCUGCAGGGCUUUAAACAGGGAGGAGAAGCAGGACUCAGUCUGACCCCUUCCUCCAGGUUUCUGCAGGCUGAACUGGAGCUGAAUGUCCUUCUUAGCCGGCUGUCCUUCACAGAACCCGUCCGCUAUAUCUACAACCCUCUGGAGUACGCCUGGGAAACUCACCGCUGCUAUGUGGAGAGGUACUGUCAGAGCGGACAAUCGAUCCUGUUCCUGGGCAUGAAUCCAGGUCCUUUCGGGAUGGCACAGACAGGGGUGAGCACAGCAUUCUUACACAAUCCAUGUUUCAUUUUGCAUGUAUAAAACUGCUGAUAACCAUUGAUAUUGUGGUGACAAACAAACCAUGUGAUCUGCAGCCUUGGGGUCCGUUUCACGUAGCAGGUUUAAUGGAAACUCGGAGUCUGUUAACCCUGAAAUCAGGGAAACUCUGAGUUUUCCGUUUCACAAAGGAGGAUUAGUUAAACCAGAGAGAGAGGGGUAACUCUAACCUGUUUCACAAAGAGAGGUAACUCAACCUCGCGGUCAGUUACCACAGUAACAGACUCCGUGAACCUAACCUGCUCGGGAGCAGGUUUAACUCAGUAAACCCAGAGUUUCAGGUGAGACAUCGGCAUUUUCUCAUUUUGAUCAUGUUUUACAUUGUCAAGUAAGUAUUAAGUGGCAGUUUGAUCCCUUCAAAAAUGCUCUUUUCACACUCAAAAAUGAAUUUUACUCUCUUAUGAUGUUCCGUUAAAUGAUUAGGAAUAUUAAACUAACACAAAAACGGGUGGUGGUCCAGCAGCCCCCCCCCCCCCCACACCACACACACACACACACACACACACACACACACACACACGCACGUACACCAGUCCGACGAUCGCUGCUACGGGGUGGGUGGGGGUGGGGAGUUGCGAUUGUCGAGGGGGGGGCAGCUCCUCUGCCUCCGUUAAAGGUGGGGCUGCUGGGCCACCACCCGUUUUUCUGGCAUCUGCCCUCUUUCUGUAUGCUGAGUGAAAGUCUAAUAUUGAGUGUAGUGUGUGUUAGUUUAAUAUAUGUACAUAUAGAUACUGAGAGUUGGUUUAAUAUUCCUAAUCAUUUAACGGAACAUCAUGAGAGAGUAAAAUUCAUUUUUGAGUGUGAAAAGAGCAUUUUCUAAGGGAUCAAACUGCCACUUAAUACUUACUUGACAAUGUAAAACAUGAUCAAAAUGAUUCAAGCAGUUUCCCUGCAACAGUCUGUCAUUGUGAUUGCACGAGACUAGAUUUAAAGUUACGCAUUGACGCGAGCAGCGAUUUCCUCCCAUGCCCUCUCCCUCUCCUUUGCAGCUGCUGCUGUAUUGCACUUUCUUUUAAAAACGUGCUGUAAUUCGCCGUUGGCUUGCUGCUGCCCCCUUCUUCUCCCUGUUUCCAUUGGUUGAUCAAUUAAUCUGGGCUCCACAGAUGCUGGCUGUUUAUGUCUGGCGUGCACGUGCUUAACUCCAGGUCAAACUACUCGGAGUUGCUAAAACUGUCUCAAAUCAGGUGUUGUGAAACCGGAAACUCAGAGUUUCCUAUCUCAGAGUAGAUCAACUCAGAGUUAAGGAUUUAACUCAGAGUUUGUUGAACCACCUACGUGAAACGGACCCUUGGUCUCUUGUAAGCGGAAGUGGACCAAAACAAAAACAAACUGCAAUGGUAACUUAUAAACUUGGCUCUACCUGUGGUGAUGAAUACACUGAUAUUUUAGAUCACAUGCGUUUCUUAGGUUUUGAUUAUGAGGCUUAUUAAUUUUACUAUUAAUUUUACUAGAUUUGAUAUGACAUUUGAUAUCUCAGGGGAGAGUGGGGUAAGUUGAGCCAAAGGGUAAGUUGAGCCACCCCCUGUUGUUUGAAAAUGGUAAAAGAAAUUGAUCAUCUGACCAAAUAUUUAGGAGAUGGGCAUCAAUUCAUGGAGUCUGUGAGGGUUAGAAGCACAUGGGUGAAGGGCUUAGACAUUUAUUUCUAAAAAAACAUUUUUCACUAUUGAAAGUGAAUUUAGUCCGUCGUAAAUUUUAUUAGAAUUGUGUUCAGACCAUGGACUGUAUAUACUAUGGACAACUUGGUUCCGCCUCCUGCCUGUAUAAGCAUUUCAAGCCGAAAAGCGCUCUGUAUUUCUGGGAUUUUUCUUCAUUUCCUGAAACCAACAUUUAGUCCUUGAGCCGGACCAGAUGUCGGUAUCACUUGGGUGGGCAAAACCUUACAUAUACUAAAUUGUUUUUAGGGUCAAUAUAAGUAAAUUAAAAUAUGAUAGACUUUUCAUAGGGGUAGCUUUUUAUAUUUUUUCUCAUUUUGUUAUUUUCCUCAAUAGGCGAAUUUUUGUUAACUCCAAAAGCAACACAGAAAGUCAAAAGCACAUUAAAAGUCAUACUCUAUUUGGGUCACACUGCUCUUUUCUAUAAAUGAAUCAAACCUGUGUCUAAUUAAAUGAGUUGAUGAAGUGGGAGUGGCCCAAUUUGAUGGUGGAGCAGUUCUUUCAGGUAUCAUAGCACUUGAGCCAAGAACCAAAAUUUCACAUAUCAGUACCACCUGGGUGGGCAAAUUCUAGUUGCUAUACAUUCCUACAAUAAGUUUUUAUAUGAUAGACCUUGGUAACUGGUAGCUUUAUUGUAGUUAUCACUCAUUAAAGUAAUAGAGUGCAGCUGUUCAAAAAUGAAAAAUCGCCUUCCUUCAAAAUUAGCUUUCUUUCAUUUUGACCUCUCAUUUAGGUGUGUUUGAACUAUUGGCUAGCCAUAGAGACUUGUAAUAACCCCCUAAGUAGUAUUUCAAGUAAUUUAUCUAAUACAGGUGUGUAUAUAUAAGCUUCAAUUAGCCAAUUGUCAGGUCUAAAUCAAGGUCUAAAUUAAGGAUAUUUUUUUACUUAGAAGUAGAAGUAAAGUAAAUGCAGACUAAUAGCAUUAUAAUAACACAACUUUAAUAUGACACUGACAUAUUUUAAAUGCAGGCACUCAUACAAUCAUCUUGGCUGGUGCAGGGCAAGAAGACAUUGGCAACAAAAUAAAAUCUACUGAUGUAUACACUCUAUACAAUCAUCUGAGAAAAACUCCAUUCCUCCACCAAGAACUUGAUGAGACUGGCUUUGUUGGCAGGGCUGCAGAGAAGUUUCCUCCACUGCUGAAUAUUGUGGCCAGAAACAAUGUUUCUGAACUGGAUCCCCAUGUCUGCACCUCUGUUUAGUCUUUCUGAAUUUUUGAUUGACAUGUCCUUGUAAACGUCAAAGACAACAUCAAUCUUUUCACUAUCACCACCUUCAUGCAGGACCUUGGCUAAAGUUGAGUCCAGCCAGCUUCCACCAUGUCAGGAUUGCGUAUUAAUGCAACCGAUUCGUGCCAACUACCAGGCUGCUAUCUGGAGACGGUCUCUUCAUACCAAGCCAUCUGUACCAAGCCCCAAGGACCAUGGGUGGACCAUAAAUGACGAAGGGCAGCUGGAAAUACAGUGGAUGCGUGGUUCCCCAGCACCAGAUGCGGUCUUGCAGUUGCUAUCCUGCAAGUGUGUGAGGACAUGCAAACCACCAGACUGCACCUGUCUCAGCAAUGGGCUGAAGUGCACAAACCUGUGCAAAUUACAAACUUGUGCCAACCAAUACAGUGAGGAAGAGCCCCUUGCACACCGGCAGAUUCAGAUGUAGAAGAAGAUACAGAUACUGAUGUCGAUUACUGAUGUUGAUUAAUAAGUGAUGACCAAAAGGAUUUAUGUUAACAGACCCACUGUGACUCAGUGACAGUAUUAUGUACUAAGCCAAACCUUGACAGUCAUAUUUGCUGUCACUGUUCCUUAUGGAAAGAAUAGGACUUUGAAUAGGAAUUUGAGUUUUUCUCAGAUGAUUGUAUAGAGUGUAUACAUCAGUAGAUCUUAUUUUGUUGCUAAUGUCUUCUUGCCCUGCACCAGCCAGGAUGAUUGUAUAUUGAGUUCCUGCAUUGAAAAUAUGUCAGUGUCAUAUUAAUCCUUAUAUCCUUAAUUUAGACCUUGAUUUAGACCUGACAAUUGGCUAAUUGAAGCUUAUAUAUACACACCUGUAUUAGAUAAAUUACUUGAAAUACUACUUAGG